AACACCUGUCUCUUGUGUACUGGAGAAGGAAUGGUGUGUGUGCCAUCCUGUGCUGGCUUUGCUGCCAUCCUCAGCAUCCUCCACUGGAAGGUCAGGAGUGCUGUGCUCUGCCCAGAGUGCAGCUUGUCUGAUCUGAACAGACCAGUGAUCUCCUCAGCUGUGCUCCUGAGAGGGAAGUUCUUCAUUAUCCACAGAGAAGUUUUCUUCUCUUUGGGAUGUGCAGGCAGCAGUGCAUGCAGUGAGAUGUGUGCAAGCUGCUGCAGCAAGACAAGACCAGCAGCAGUGCUAAGAAGGAAUGCAGUGAGCAGUGCUGCCAGGCUUUUC